CUCCUCCUCCUGCCGGGUCCUAGCGCCAGGCACGCCUCCGCCCGCCCGGGCCGCCGUCAGCCGUCCCCCGCACAGCACUGGGUUUGAGCCGCACGCGCGUGCGUUGCACAUCGCAACCUUAAGAACUGAGGCAUCAAGGACAGGGAACAAUAGCAAUUCCCAGUACCAUUUCCCUCCAGCAAGCAUCUUCUUGUGUAGAGUGAAAUUCAGAAUCAAUGUUAAACUAAGUAGCGGUUAGAAGCCUGGAAACUACCCCUCAAAACAUAUGAUGGCCUGGUUCAUCCCACUCGAUCAGUAGAAUGCACCAGAAAUAAAUAUGGAGCACUGCAUCUACAUAUCUUAAGGCAAAAGUUCACUGAAGACAGGAGACUGGAACAAAUAGUGAAGCCAAUCUUUGAUGUCUCUAUCAUCCAAGCUUCAGAUGUCACACCCAAGAAUCCACUGGUAUCACAGAAAUGUGUAAUGUUAAAAAAAAAAAGAGAAAAACACACAAACAAACAAACAAAAACCCCUGAACUAGUCUGUAUCUUUAUUUCUCUCUCAACAAACCUUGCCAUGUUAUAUUUGAGCAUCCACAAAGAGCGCAGAGAUAAUUUUUAUUAUUUUUUGUUUGGGAACUCUCUUCCCUUUCUCUCUCAGAAUGUCCCAUUAGAUCAGGCUGAAAUGACACUUUUCAGGCAUAUCUCAUACAAGGUAAAAGGGGCUGGGGCAACAAUGGGACUGCAGGGGCUGUGGGGUGUCGGGAUGGGGAUCAGAUGUAAGGCACCACAGGAUUUAACUGGGGCUGGGGGGGCUCUCCCCCCCAUCUCCCUAAUGGAGCAGGGGUCCCACAAUCACAGCUAAACUUUAGUAACAACUGUGCAAACCUGCCCUUGGGCUCUGUUUCCUCAUUCUCAUGAAAUGUCCCAAGUUACUUCUGUGCCACAAUUUGGUAACCCAGGUUAGACCCUGACUGCUUGGCUUCAGAGCUUCCUAGGACAGACUGGGCCACAAACUGGGUGAAUUUACCCAUUUUCUGUCUCUCACGAGGGGUGCUGGAGCGAGCUGUAAGGAGGUGAGGUGGUGAUCUGUGAAAACUGUAAAUCCACAUAAAUGCUGCAUGGUGGUGGUGUGUCAAAAACUGGAAAUCCACAUAAAUCCUGCAAAUUGGACAGGGGACAAGGUGUCAUGAGAGUUGCUCUGCUAGCAUAAGUUUCAAAAAAGUGGUGGUACCUGUAGUUAUCUAGGAAACAGACAGUGGAAUUUUAUGGAAAAGCUUGGUCUGCUACGAUUGCAUUUGGUACUGCAGACCAAAGGUGGCCAGAAGUUGGCAGUUUUAGCGUUGAUCUCCUAAGGUUUUUUGUGAUUGUUAUUGGGGGACCAAUUCCCUGCCUAACUGGACUACUGGAACACCUGGGCAGUUCACAGAACAGAGCAGACGAACCAAAAUGAUCAAUUCAAGUCAAAUGGUGAUAGGAAAAAGGUGUCGCCUUACGCUCUUU